rnacentral:rRNA from 1 species
GACAGCAGCCGCCGCGGUAAUACGUAGGUGGCGAGCGUUGUCCGGAAUUAUUGGGCGUAAAGGGAGCGCAGGCGGACAUAUAAGUCCAUCUUAAAAGUGCGGGGCUCAACCCCGUGAGGGGAUGGAAACUGUAUGCCUUGAGUGUAGGAGAGGAAAGCGGAAUUCCCAGUGUAGCGGUGAAAUGCGUAGAUAUUGGGAGGAACACCAGUGGCGAAGGCGGCUUUCUGGACUGCAACUGACGCUGAGGCUCGAAAGCCAGGGGAGCGAACGGGAUUAGAUACCCGAGUAGUCCCUGUCUCUUAUACA